rnacentral:rRNA from 1 species
UUCUUUAAGCGAUAAUUUAAAGUAAGACCUGCUCAAUGAUAUUUUAUAUAGCCGCAGUUUACUGUGCUAAGGUAGCAUAAUAAUUUGCUUCUUAAUUAGGAGAGAGAAUGAAUGGUCAAACAUUUAAAAAAUGUCUCUAAAUAAUAAAUUAAACUAUAAUUAAGGUAAAAAAUCCUUUAUAAUAUAGUGGGACGACAAGACCCUGAUAAACUUAACAUUUAGUUGGGGAAACUAAUUAAAAAAACUUUAUUCAAAUCACCAAAACACUUAAAAUAAAAAAAAGUUACUACAGGGAUAACAGCGCAAUUUCUUUUAAGAGCCCAAAUCAAAAAAGAAGAUUACGACCUCGAUGUUGAAUUAAUAAACCAAGUAAAGAGCACAAACUAACAAUUGGUAGUCUGUUCGACUAUUAAAAAAUU